rnacentral:rRNA from 1 species
AAAUCUUGACAUCCUCUGACCCCUCUAGAGAUAGAGUUUUCCCCUUCGGGGGACAGAGUGACAGGUGGUGCAUGGUUGUCGUCAGCUCGUGUCGUGAGAUGUUGGGUUAAGUCCCGCAACGAGCGCAACCCUUAAGCUUAGUUGCCAUCAUUAAGUUGGGCACUCUAAGUUGACUGCCGGUGACAAACCGGAGGAAGGUGGGGAUGACGUCAAAUCAUCAUGCCCCUUAUGAUUUGGGCUACA